rnacentral:rRNA from 1 species
AUUGAACGCUGGCGGAAUGCUUUACACAUGCAAGUCGAACGGCAGCACGGACUUCGGUCUGGUGGCGAGUGGCGAACGGGUGAGUAAUAUAUCGGAACGUGCCCAGUCGUGGGGGAUAACGUAGUGAAAAUUACGCUAAUACCGCAUACGAUCUAAGGAUGAAAGCGGGGGAUCGCAAGACCUCGCGCGAUUGGAGCGGCCGAUAUCAGAUUAGGUAGUUGGUGAGGUAAAGGCUCACCAAGCCAACGAUCUGUAGCUGGUCUGAGAGGACGACCAGCCACACUGGAACUGAGACACGGUCCAGACUCCUACGGGAGGCAGCAGUGGGGAAUUUUGGACAAUGGACGCAAGUCUGAUCCAGCCAUUCCGCGUGCAGGACGAAGGCCUUCGGGUUGUAAACUGCUUUGUACAGAACGAAAAGGUCUCUAUUAAUACUAGGGCUCAUGACGGUACUGUAAGAAUAAGCACCGGCUAACUACGUGCCAGCAG